rnacentral:rRNA from 1 species
GACGAACGCUGGCGGCGUGCUUAACACAUGCAAGUCGAACGGAAAGGCCCUGCUUUUGUGGGGUGCUCGAGUGGCGAACGGGUGAGUAACACGUGAGUAACCUGCCCUUGACUUUGGGAUAACUUCAGGAAACUGGGGCUCAUACCGGAUAGGAGCUCCUGCUGCAUGGUGGGGGUUGGAAAGUUUCGGCGGUUGGGGAUGGACUCGCGGCUUAUCAGCUUGUUGGUGGGGUAGUGGCUUACCAAGGCUUUGACGGGUAGCCGGCCUGAGAGGGUGACCGGCCACAUUGGGACUGAGAUGCGGCCCAGACUCCUACGGGAGGCAGCAGUGGGGAAUAGUGCACAAGGGGCGGAAGCCUGAUGCAGCAACGCCGCGUGCGGGAUGACGGCCUUCGGGUUGUAAACCGCUUUCGCCUGUGACGAAGCGUUAGUGGCGGUAAUGGGUAAAGAAGCACCGGCUAACUACGUG